rnacentral:misc_RNA from 1 species
AAGACUAUAGACCUGCGGAGUACCUGCGGAGGGCUCAUUAUCGUAUUGUAACAAUUGGGGGGGCCACCGUGGGCUGUCGCUGACCCUUUGAAAGGGGGGUCGUGCACGCCCCCAUAGUGUCAUCCUCAUACAAUCCAACUCACCUCUGUGCAUCACCGCGUGGGUUCCUUUCUGGGUCGAGUCAGACUGGCUCAGAAAAAAGGGGCUUGCGUUUUCCAUACAAAUACCCUUAUAAAUCCA